GUGCUCACUUCAGCAGCACAUAUACUAAAAUUGGAACGACACAGAGAUUAGCAUGGUCUCUGCAGAAGGAUGACACGCAAAUUUGUGAAGUGUUCCAUAUUUAU
ensembl:snRNA U6 U6 spliceosomal RNA